rnacentral:rRNA from 1 species
GACGAACGCUGGCGGCGUGCCUAAUACAUGCAAGUCGAACGCUUUUUCUUUCACCGGAGCUUGCUCCACCGAAAGAAAAAGAGUGGCGAACGGGUGAGUAACACGUGGGUAACCUGCCCAUCAGAAGGGGAUAACACUUGGAAGCAGGUGCUAAUACCGUAUAACACUAUUUUCCGCAUGGAAGAAAGUUGAAAGGCGCUUUUGCGUCACUGAUGGAUGGACCCGGGGUGCAUUAGCUAGUUGGUGAGGUAACGGCUCACCAAGGCAACGAUGCAUAGCCGACCUGAGAGGGUGAUCGGCCACACUGGGACUGAGACACGGCCCAGACUCCUACGGGAGGCAGCAGUAGGGAAUCUUCGGCAAUGGACGAAAGUCUGACCGAGCAACGCCGCGUGAGUGAAGAAGGUUUUCGGAUCGUAAAACUCUGUUGUUAGAGAAGAACAAGGAUGAGAGUAGAACGUUCAUCCCUUGACGGUAUCUAACCAGAAAGCCACGGCUAACUACGUGCCAGCAGCCGCGGUAA